rnacentral:sRNA from 1 species
GAAUUGCCUAAUACUAUUUAGUAACGGGAGAACCAUUUGUUGGGGUGAAUCCGCCCUUUGCGGUAGGGGACCUUUCUUCCCGAACCCGUCAGCUAAUCUCGUCGGCAGAGAAGGG